rnacentral:misc_RNA from 1 species
AAACUCCUCUCCGCCAAAACGAGAAGCCACAUCUCCGGCUCGUAACGCUUCUUUAAUGACGCGGCCAGUCGCUUCGAGAGUCUUGCUUCCCACCAGGUGACCAUAAGUAUCGUUCACGUCUUUGAAGUGAUCCAGAUCCAUCAUCAGUACACAGAAAGGACGCGACUCUGCCUCCGCCCGGGCUGCCUCCCGUCUGAGCUCUGAAAAGAAGGACUUGCUGGUAAGCAGUCCGGUAAGCUCGUCGUGCGCUAUGAGGCGGUGAAUCUGCUGCUGAAAUUCACGAUCGAUUUCAUCCA